AAAAAGCCUCUCUCGCCUCCCCGUUCUCGCCCUCACACAGACCCUCCUUUCAGACCCGCCCUCCUGUUCACAGGGACCCAUUUCGGAGCCCUAGCUCACGCUGGGCGGGAACCAGCGUGACGAAUUCCGCCCAAGUCCCCCCUCCCCGGAUACCGGAAAGUCUCUUCUCUUUUUCGUAUCAAAAAAAGCCCGGUGAAGACUCUGCAGAACCCAGGAAGCGCAGAAUCGGGAGAAAGUCUUUGGCUGGGGCUGGUUCAAGACCCUGCUUCAAUGGGCUGCUGGAAGCCAGGACUGGGGUUCCUCUGAGGUUGGACUUCUUUCGCGCUCGAUAGGCCUUGAAAACUGGGUUCCUGCUCCUUAUUACAUAUCUGGGACAAUAAUGAACAGGUCAAAACAGAAAAGUCGAGUAAACUGGGAGCGAUGCUUUUCAACACGUCGCGCAGGGUGUAGUGUUGGGGGAUGUGAUUUGAGGGCAAGAAUUUUAUUGCAAUACUAGGUAGUCAGCCAGCCCGGUCCCCGGGGGCCGACCUGCAAAGUACUACGCGUUUCCGCCCCCCGACCCCCCCACAGCGGUUACACCUCUGGGAAGCAUUACCUUGCCUGAUGACUUCACACUGCUCGGGGAAACCCACUUACUAAUUCUCCCCUACAAACCUUCAGGGCUUCAGCCUUUGUUUGAACCCUGCCUUAGGUGGUUCAACUCUUGAGAAACUGGCUUAAGUUUCAGAGCACAAUUUCAUCCACUUAAUCAGACUCCUGCUUCUUGAUUUUUAGUUGUACGGUAGUUUUUAAAUGCUAACCUGUAAUUUAAAAUAUAUUGUCUAACUGAUGUACUCUUACAUAUAAUGUGGAUUAAACUGAUUUAGGGGGAGGGUGGACAUCAUGGAGUGUCAAGUGUCUGGCUGUGGGACCCCACAGGGGCACUUAACAUCCACUCUAAACUUCCAUGAAUAUUAUAUGUAAUGCAGGCUUGCUGAUUAUUGCUUAGUAGUGCUUAACUGUUCCUGUGCUAAUGGUUCAAGCAGUGAAAACAUUUAGUAAAACUGUGUUUCUUUAUUAAUCAAAAACACAUUUGUUGUUUGUUCCCUUGAACUUGUAAUUCAUGGCCCAUAAAGCAAAAGCAAAAUAUUUCCUCACUGCGGAUGAAUGUAAAAGCUAAUUACAUAUCCGUGCAUUUCUGUCAGUUUCUCCCCCAUCCCCCAAGAGAAUGGGAAAGAGGCUAGAGGUGAAAGUUUACAUUUAAAUUCAGGGGUGAAGCAGAAUACUGUAUCAAUCAGAUUUUCUUAGGCAGGGCAUCCAGAAUAAGAGAUUGAAUAAAUUCAAAUCCCACCUUUGAUGAGGGAUUGUUUGUGUGUUCCUGGAAGCAUAUUUUACCUCUCUAGACCUUUAUUUCCUAGUUGAUAAAUGGAGAAAAUACCUGCUUUACAAAGUUGUUAUGAUGAUAGAACGUGUGAAACUAUGUUAGGAGAUUAGUAGAGUGCCUAAGCUCUACUCUUAGGUAGAGCUUCCUAAUGUAACUUAGCGUUUCCUAAUUUAACCAUUGUCGCUAUUCAAAAACAUUAGUACCCUUCUCCUGGUUUUCUAUUUGUUAUAUUAUUCUUGAUAGGCAUUAACUGGAGUUUCAUCCUGGGCUCAUUUGUUUGACCUACUUCAGCUUCCUACUGUCCCCUCACUGUCUCUCAUAGAUUGAAUUAUUCUAUGUGCCCAUGAAUACACCCCAAACCUUUACGUUUAACCAAAAUUCCUUUCUGGAUUCCAGGCCUGAAUUACGGCUACUAGCCAUCUAGUAUUGAUUAAUAAGCAUCAUAUUUGGAGACGGGAGAUUCAGUUUCACCAACAAGCUAUAGCUUGUUUCAACCAAUUGAAUAACAUACGAUUGUCAAUUUCAAUUUUACCUUUCUAUUUUAAACAUAAGCUGUUUGGAUCAGAAGAUGACAGAUGUUUCAGGUUUUGACAUCCUAAGACAUACUUCUCCAACCUACGCUUGUUAUGGUUUCAACUAUCCAAGACAACAUAGCGAAGAACUUCAGAGGUAGGAGCUUGACCUGAGUCAACGUGAGUCUGCAGCAUGCUCUUGCUAACCUCCUUCCCACAACACAGAACAAGUGUUCACCUGUCUGAGAGACCAAGUUUCCAGAAGAAGGAUUCAGUACCUUCAUACUUCUCUGUGUAAAUGGUUCUCAAACUUUUUGGUGUGAAGUCCCUCUAUACGCUCUUAAAAAUUGUUGAGGACUUCAAAAAACGUGUUUAUAUGGGUUAUAUCUAUCAAUAGACCAUAUUAGAAAUAAAAGCUGACCAAAAAAGUUUUAGAAUAUUUAUUAAUUAAUUUAAAAUAAUAAUAAACGCAAGGACUUGUCACCAUUUUUGUGAAAUGUGGCAUUGUUUUCCAUUUUUGCAAAUCUCCACUAUCUGGCUUAAUAUAAGACAGUUGGAUUCUCAUAGCUGCUUCAUCAUUCUAUUGUUUUGAUUGAAGUAUAUAAAGAAAAUCUGGCUUCAAACAGAUACAUAAUUGGGAAAUAGAGAAGUAUUUUAAUAGUCUUUUUAGAUAGUCUUCUGUGAUACUAUGUCAAAACUUGACAAAUAAUAGUUUUUUUAAACUUAAGUUGUAAUGGUGGAUCUAAAACAAUAGGAAUGAGCUUUUUGUACUCUGUUACUUAAAAUCUCUUUAUCUUAUACUUUAAAUGCAUCUUUUACAACCAUUCAUGCAUUUUAAUGUCCUGUAUCAUUUGUAUUGAUUACUAAGUUAGGCAGAUUUUCCGAAUGUUGAUAUAUUUCAUUAAAA
rnacentral:lncRNA from 1 species